CUGUACAAGCUUGAUCAUGAACUUGUUGGGAGAGAUUUUGUGUAGAGUUUUGGAGGGGAGGAGAGUAGGUGUUUUGAAGGUGUGGUCUGGAUUAAUUUUGUUGGUUGGUUGAGUUGUUUUACUUUCAGUGGCCAGUGAAUUCGAUUGGAACCCAAGAUUGGAGGAGGCAAAGUUAUUACCAGUCAGUUUGUGUCACAAAAGAGCAAAAGGUUGAGUGAGGCAGAAGCAAUUGAUCAGAUGAAGCCCAAAUCAGGUCUCUAAACUCUGAACUUGAAGGACUCUGUUUCAAUUGUCAGAGAGGGUUUGAGCAGAGGUUUUGAUUAGUGAUGCUAAAA